rnacentral:rRNA from 1 species
GAUGAACGCUGGCGGCGUGCCUAAUACAUGCAAGUCGAGCGAACGGACGAGAAGCUUGCUUCUCUGAUGUUAGCGGCGGACGGGUGAGUAACACGUGGAUAACCUACCUAUAAGACUGGGAUAACUUCGGGAAACCGGAGCUAAUACCGGAUAAUAUUUUGAACCGCAUGGUUCAAAAGUGAAAGACGGUCUUGCUGUCACUUAUCGAUGGAUCCGCGCUGCAUUAGCUAGUUGGUAAGGUAACGGCUUACCAAGGCAACGAUGCAUAGCCGACCUGAGAGGAUGAUCGGCCACACUGGAACUGAGACACGGUCCAGACUCCUACGGGAGGCAGCAGUAGGGAAUCUUCCGCAAUGGGCGAAAGCCUGACGGAGCAACGCCGCGUGAGAGAUGAAGGUCUUCGGAUCGUAAAACUCUGUUAUUAGGGAAGAACAUAUGUGUAAGUAACUGUGCACAUCUUGACGGUACCUAAUCAGAAAGCCACGGCUAACUACGUG